GUGCUCGUUUCAGCAGCACACAUACUAAAAUUGGAAUGAUAUAGAGAUUAGCAUGGCCCCUGCACAAAGACAACACUCAAACUGAUGAAGCAUCCCAUAUUUUU